AGCGUUUAUAAUCUAACGGUUAUGAUAAUUGCAUUUCAAGCAAUAGACCCAUGUUCAACUCCCGGCAAACUCAAAUUAG